AAAGCGGUUAUUUAAAAGGGAAGAUUGGUGAAACUCCAACACGGUCCCGCCACUGUAAUAGGGAGCACGCUGCAAAAAGUCACUGUGAAAAUGGGAAGACGCAGACGUUGUGAUGACCUUAAGUCAGGAUACCUGCCUUAUUUUUAU
rnacentral:ncRNA from 1 species